UUUUAGUGUUUUUAUUUCUCUUUUUUUUAUCGUGCCUCCCUCUAAAGUUCAUCAUCACUCUUAACCACUCAUCUUCUUCAUCUAAUAUUUCCUCUUAACAUGAAUUGGAAUCAAUUACGCGACAGUCGACCACCGGUAGUGCCAUCAUCCACUAUUUCAUCUGCUCCAAAAACCACUGAUUUCAGCUUUUUUUUUCAUCUUCUUGUUUUCCCCCUUUAUUUAUCUGUUAUCUGUAAGAAAAAUGGAAAUUGAUGGAGUGCAGAAGAGAAUGAGGAGUAAGAUUAAAGUAAAAACAAGAUGGAAACAGAAAUGGGUUCUGCAAUUUUUAUUUUUACAACUGUGGUUCAAGAACAUUCGAUUACAGCUCCAACCAAGGCAUGCAAUCAUGAUUUUACAACUAUGGGUCAUAGAAUAUCAUGCCACUAGAAUGAUAGUGUUCACCAAGGCAAAACAUAUGAAGAUGGGCUAAGCCUUGGCUUUUCUGGCUUGAUGAGAUUGAAUCCUCUGCUGCACCUUCAAUAUCUAGUGCAUACAAAGCCAAUGGAUCAAAUUCAAUUUUUGCUUUUACUCAA